UACGGGGGGUGCGAGCGUUGUCCGGAAUCACUGGGCGUAAAGGGCGCGUAGGUGGCGUCGUAAGUCUGUGGUGAAAGCCCGGAGCUCAACUCCGGGUCUGCCGCGGAUACUGCGAGGCUUGAGUGCUGUAGAGGGGGGUAGAAUGCCGGGUGUAGCGGUGGAAUGCGUAGAGAUCCAGCAGAAGACCGGUGGCGAAGGCGGCCCCCUGGGCAGUAACUGACACUGAGGCGCGACAGCGUGGGGAGCAAACAGG
rnacentral:rRNA from 1 species